AUUGAACGCUGGCGGCAUGCCUUACACAUGCAAGUCGAACGGCAGCACGGGGCAACCUGGUGGCGAGUGGCGAACGGGUGAGUAAUGCAUCGGAACGUACCUUUCAGUGGGGGAUAACGUAGCGAAAGUUACGCUAAUACCGCAUAUUCUGUGAGCAGGAAAGCAGGGGAUCGCAAGACCUUGCGCUGAUUGAGCGGCCGAUGUCAGAUUAGCUAGUUGGUGAGGUAAAGGCUCACCAAGGCGACGAUCUGUAGCGGGUCUGAGAGGAUGAACCGCCACACUGGAACUGAGACACGGUCCAGACUCCUACGGGAGGCAGCAGUGGGGAAUGUUGGACAAUGGGGGCAACCCUGAUCCAGCCAUGCCGCGUGAGUGAAGAAGGCCUUCGGGUUGUAAAGCUCUGUCGGCCGGGAAGAAAUCGCACGGGCUAAUACCCUGUGUGGAUGACGGUACCGGAAUAAGAAGCACCGGCUAACUACGUGCCAGCAGCCGCAGUAAUAC
rnacentral:rRNA from 1 species